rnacentral:rRNA from 1 species
AGUCGAGGAUCAUUGUCAAUGCGCGAAAGCGUGAACAUGCGACGCUGCGUGGAGGAUGACGGCCUUAGGGUUGUAAACUCCUGUCAUGAGGGAAAAGACGCGCGGGUGGUAAUACUAUCCGUGUUCGAUGGUACCUCAAGAGGAAGCCACGGCUAACUCUGUGCCAGCAGCCGCGGUAAUACAGAGGUGGCGAGCGUUGUUCGGAUUUACUGGGCGUAAAGGGUGCGUAGGUGGUAUCGUAUGUCGGAUGUGAAAGCCCACUGCUCAACGGUGGAAUUGCAUUCGAAACUGCGGAACUAGAGCACAGGAGGGGAGAGCGGAAUUCUUGGUGUAGCGGUGAAAUGCGUUGAUAUCAAGAAGAACACCGGUGGCGAAGGCGGCUCUCUGGAAUGUUGCUGACACUGAGGCACGAAAGUUGGGGGAGCAAACAGGAUUAGAUACCCUGGUAGUCCCAACCGUAAACGGUGUGCACUUGGUGUGGGAGGUAUUGACCCCUCCCGUGCCGGAGCUAACGCGUUAAGCGCACCGCCUGGGGAGUACGACCGCAAGGUUAAAACUCAAAGAAAUUGACGGGGGCCCGCACAAGCGGAGGAGCAUGUGGCUUAAUUCGAUGCAACGCGAAGAACCUUACCAGGGCUUGACAUGGCGACCCUUCGGGGGUGGAGAUGAAAGUUUCCUUUACGAUCACAGGUGCUGCAUGGCUGUCGUCAGUUCGUGCCGUGAGGUGUUGGGUUAAGUCCCGCAACGAACGCAACCCUUGUGUUUAGUUGCCACCGCAGGUGAUGAGCCUGCGAGCACUCUAGACAGACUGCCCGUACAAGCGGGAGGAAGGUGGGGACGACGUCAAGUCAGUAUGGCCCUUACGCCCUGGGCUGCACACGUGCUACAAUGGUCAGUACAGAGAGACGCGACAUCGCGAGGUGGAGCAAAUCUUCAAAGCUGGCCCCAGUUCGGAUUGGAGUCUGCAACUCGACUCCAUGAAGUUGGAUUCGCUAGUAAUGGCGCAUCAGCUACGGCGCCGUGAAUACGUUCCCGGGCCUUGUACACACCGCCCGUCACAUCAUGAAAGCCGUCUGCACCCGAAGUCACUGGGCCAACCCGCAAGGGAGGCAGGUGCCGAAGGUGUGGGUGGUGAUUGGGAUG